GUGGUUUUGAACCUUGGGCUUAUCCAGUGCUUCUAAAUGUUUAACAGUCAGCUCUCUUGGGGGAAAUCUAUGUAUGUAUUGGGUGCAUAAUCACAAAUGGAGUUGGUAUGCCAGAUGGAUAAUAUACAAAUCUCAUAUGAUUCACCUCUGACAUCUGACCUAGGUGAGCUGACCACAGAAGUCCUUCUAGGAUGAUGUCACCUGGAAGUGGAUACAGCUGGCAUCUAAGCCUUCCAGUGGAAGAAAUGGAAGCACAACAAAACCAAGCAGUAUGCUCAACAUCACACAAUUUAUAGCUGGAAGAUCUGAGGGAAGAGCUGAGGGAAGAUCACUGAAUUGCUGCUGAAACUGGACUUGGCCAGGCAUCAUCUGCCCCCUUGUGGACAGUGCUUUCCUGACACUUUGAGGAAAUGAAGAGGAAGUAGAUGCAAAUUCCAAAAUUGCACAGCAAGUAUCAUUGCUGACAACCUCGCAAAGUCUGGGGAUUGGCCACUCUGACUUUACUGACUAGCCCCACCUACCUGCUCGAAUGUUCCAGGUUUCUUUAGUCUUGUAACAAGGGUGUCGGAGCUGGCACUCAACACUUGACUCUGGCCGUAAAUCAUACUUAGCAGUUGUUGGCAGCAUUCUAGCUCCUUCCUUCCUUCCUUCCUUCCUUCCUUCCUUCCUUCCUUCCUUCCUUCCUUCCUUCCUUCUUCCUCCCUUCCUCCUUUU